rnacentral:rRNA from 1 species
AUUGAACGCUGGCGGCAGGCCUAACACAUGCAAGUCGAGCGGAUGAGGGUAGCUUGCUAUCUGAUUCAGCGGCGGACGGGUGAGUAAUGCCUAGGAAUCUGCCUGGUAGUGGGGGACAACGUUUCGAAAGGAACGCUAAUACCGCAUACGUCCUACGGGAGAAAGUGGGGGAUCUUCGGACCUCACGCUAUCAGAUGAGCCUAGGUACGAUUAGCUAGUUGGUGAGGUAAAGGCUCACCAAGGCGACGAUCGUUAACUGGUCUGAGAGGAUGAUCAGUCACACUGGAACUGAGACACGGUCCAGACUCCUACGGGAGGCAGCAGUGGGGAAUAUUGGACAAUGGGCGAAAGCCUGAUCCAGUCAUGCCGCGUGUGUGAAGAAGGUCUUCGGAUUGUAAAGCACUUUAAGUUGGGAGGAAGGGCAGUAAGUUAAUACCUUGCUGUUUUGACGUUACCAACAGAAUAAGCACCGGCUAACUUCGUGCCAGCCGCCGCCGUAAGAC